rnacentral:tRNA from 1 species
GGGCAGAUAGUGUAAUGGUCAACACUUCCACAUUCGACGUGGAGAUGAAGGUUCGAAUCCUUCUCUGUGCA